AUGAAGCUGGAAUCGCUAGUAAUCGCGAAUCAGAAUGUCGCGGUGAAUACGUUCCCGGGUCUUGUACACACCGCCCGUCACACCAUGGGAGUCGGAAAUGCCCGAAGUCAGUGACCUAACCGAAAGGGAGGAGCUGCCGAAGGUGGAGCCGGUAACUGGGGUGAAGUCGUAACAAGGUAUC
rnacentral:rRNA from 1 species